GGAGAAUGCACGCAGAAGGAACGACGAGGGAGGAGGACGCACAGCAAACGACAUGGGAGGAGGACGCACGCAGAAGGAACGACGAGGGAGGAGGAUGCUCGGCGAAUUAGAGAAAGUCGAGUGUUUUCGAUGGCCCGGUACCGGACCUAUGGUCCAUCAAGCGGCUGACCUUCCAGAGGGGAGACGUCCCGGUGGUCUUUGCUGUGGUGGACCACGGAGACAUCUCCUUCUACACCUUCAAAGACUUCCAGCUGCCCACUGACGUUUACCCCUGAGAUCUCACCGCUCUUUAACGUCACCGUCACACACGGGCCAACACGUAUCCAGGACUUUUACAUUCAUCUGCAUCUGUUGGGUCGGCUGGACGUCCAAAGAUAUCAAUAAAUCCAAUCGUUUAUGUUACAGAUGAAAAAACUAAUCCUGAAACUUGUAUUUUGUGUGUUUGGCCAGUGAUUUACAAUGAGGCUGGUUUUACUGCCAAAGUUCUUUUUCU